GCCCCGGUGAGGUAGUGGAUAUCCCUGAUGUCUCCGGAACAUCAAACCCGGGUUCGAUUCCCGGCCGGGGCG
rnacentral:tRNA from 1 species